UCUAUGAAACUAGAAAUCAACUACAAGAAGAAAGCUGGAAAAGUCACAAAUAAGUGGAGACUAAAGAACAUGCUACUGGACAACUAUUGGAUCAAUGAAGAAACAAAAAGAGAAUC